GGAUGGCUAGCUCAGUUGGUAGAGCAACGCGUUUACAUCGCGUGGGUCAGGGGUUCGAGUCCCUUGCCAUCCACCA
rnacentral:tRNA from 1 species